GGAGUAAAAGUCGUAACAAGGUUUCCGUAGGUGAACCUGCGGAAGGAUCAUUAUUGAAAUAAACCUGAUGGGUUGUUGCUGGUUCUCUAGGGAGCAUGUGCACGCUUGUCAUCUUUAUAUCUCCACCUGUGCACCUUUUGUAGACCUGGAUAUCUCUCUGAGUGCUAGCCACUCAGGUUUGAGUAUUGACUUUGUGUCUUUUCUUACAUUUCCAGGCCUAUGUUUUCCCAUAAUACCCAAUGUAUGUCUUAGAAUGUAUUCAAUGGGCCUCUGUGCCUAUAAAAUCUAUACAACUUUCAGCAACGGAUCUCUUGGCUCUCGCAUCGAUGAAGAACGCAGCGAAAUGCGAUAAGUAAUGUGAAUUGCAGAAUUCAGUGAAUCAUCGAAUCUUUGAACGCACCUUGCGCUCCUUGGUAUUCCGAGGAGCAUGCCUGUUUGAGUGUCAUUAAUAUAUCAACCUCUUCAAAUUUUUUGUUUGAUGAGUGUUGGAUGUGGGGGAACUGCUUUGCUGGUCUAAACAGGUCAGCUCCCCUGAAAUGCAUUAGCAGAACCACUUUGCAGAUCGUUCAUUGGUGUGAUAAUUAUCUACGCUAUUAACGUGAAGUAGUUCAGCUUCUAACAGUCCAUUGACUUGGACAAUUCUCAUUAAUGUGACCUCAAAUCAGGAGGACUACCCGCUGACUA
rnacentral:rRNA from 1 species